rnacentral:rRNA from 1 species
UACGUAGGGGGCAAGCGUUGUCCGGAUUUAUUGGGCGUAAAGAGCGUGUAGGCGGCCAGACAGGUCCGUUGUGAAAACUCGAGGCUCAACCUCGAGACGCCGAUGGAAACCGUCUGGCUAGAGUCCGGAAGAGGAGAGUGGAAUUCCUGGUGUAGCGGUGAAAUGCGUAGAUAUCUGGAGGAACACCAAAGGCGAAGGCAGUGUCCUGGGGAGCAUCUGACGCUCAGGUGCGAAAGCCAGGGGAGCGAACGGG